AAACUCGUGGCCUAUUUUUCGCCUUCUAUAUGUAAUGCGAGCGCGUAGGCUAAAAACAGUAUGAUUGUCCAGUUCGCAAGGUUAUCCUCGAAUACACAGAUCACCUGGUUAAGAGCUUCAACUCCUGAUGUCAGUACGCGUUAGUCGCGCUCAGUAUAUUUUCAUGAGCUCGAGCGAUAUUUCUCGAUGGUGGAAGUUUUUGGUUGUAUUUUUUGUCGUUGUGUUGUGCUAUCGUAGCGUGGCGGGGUCUUUCAGCAUCGAGUACGUGGAUCUCAAGCUGUUGGAAAAGGAUUAUGACGGCGCAGUUUUCUUCUAUGAAUGUGACUUUCCGUCAUCGGAUUCAUCGACGCAAGGCAAGUCGCUAAGCCCCUCAACGUCCCAGAACCAAGGGCUUCUGCUCUUUCGACCGAACUCCCGAAGGAGGGGUGGCAUGGGUGUGGCGUGCAGGCGGGUGGCGAGCCCGGAGAGGCGGCAAGCGAUCCUCACGAUGGCCACCUUUUACUUGGUGCACAACCCCAAAUUGGACUUGGGCGAGCGGCUCUUCGACGCGGACACCCGGCGCCCCCUGCAGCUCCCGACCCUGGUCAACGUCGGCGUCGAGCUGGAUAAGGUCACCGCCCAGGCAAAGGUCCCCAGGUGGGAGUCGGCCAACCGCGAAGACACUCGCGAACUCCUUGCUAAGCUCAAGUCCAUCCACCUAUUGCCGUACAUGUGCCCGGAUUACUUGGUCAAUUUCUUCAGCGUCGCUGACAUCAAGACCUUCACCCUCAACUCGCAGGACGUGGUCAUGGAGCUGGCCGGAUACGUGGCUGUGCUCGAUAGAAUAGUGGACCUUUACUACGAAGACUACUAUCGCACAUUCUUCAUGUAUCUAUUUAAGUACGAGGUGGACAUGCGGUUGAAACACCGAACCCGCGUGAAACUGGUGAGCGCGCUGAAUAUAGUGCUGCCGAAAAUGAUGGAUCCGUGCUUCAUUAUGGCGCACCAGACGGCGGCCAAGGCUCUGGUGGACGCCAACAAGUCCUGCUCCUCUUAUUGCAAGGUUCUCGCCGUCGCUGCCGAUAUCUAUAAGGAAGAGAGCAAAACCUGCAAGACGCGUUGGACCGAGGGCAAGUGCGAGAAAAAACGAUGCAUCUGCCUCAAGCCGACCCGGGGGUUGAGCGUCCUGACGACACGCGCCCCGAUGCACCGAUGCAACAACCAAGUGGUGCAGGCCAACAUUCAGGGGAUCUUCCGUAGCGUCGGGACCAAGUGGUGGUGGACCCAGGGCCUCAUGCGGUGGAUCUUUGAGUUGCCCGACUUCAUUAGCAAAGAUCUCUGCUCCCGGAUGCCGGACGGGACAAGGCUCCUUCGUCCAGCAAAUUCCACCUUGAAAGAGGAACAUCCAAAGAGUUCCAAAAAAGAGACGACUGGAACCUAA
rnacentral:lncRNA from 1 species